rnacentral:hammerhead_ribozyme from 1 species
AUCCAGCUGAACAGUCCCAAAUAGGACGAAAUGCGCGUCCUGGAU